UGGGGAAUUUUCCGCAAUGGGCGAAAGCCUGACCGAGCAAUGCCGCGUGCGGGAUGAAGGCCCUCGGGUUGUAAACCGCAAAAGUGAGGAGGAAGGGCCCGUGAAGAGCGGGUCUUGACCGAUCCACAGUAAGGACGGGCUAAGUUCGUGCCAGCAGCCGCGGUAACACGAACCGUCCAAACGUUAUUCGGAAUCAUUGGGCUUAAAGGGUGCGUAGGCGGCCUAUUAAGUCGGGUGUGAAAUCCCACGGCUCAACCGUGGAACUGCGCCCGAUACUGAUAGGCUAGAGGGAGACAGGGGUGAGCGGAACUGAUGGUGGAGCGGUGAAAUGCGUUGAUAUCAUCAGGAACACCGGUGGCGAAAGCGGCUCACUGGGUCUCUUCUGACGCUGAGGCACGAAAGCCAGGGUAGCGAACGGGAUUAGAUACCCGCGUAGUCC
rnacentral:rRNA from 1 species